CAAAUAUAUUGGCAGAUGUAUGAGGUUUUUAAAUCCUCCUGCCGUAGUGAGAGGAUAAAACUCCCAACACAAAUGGCAACUCUGCAGCAAGAUUCUGACAUAAUUACUGUAAUUAUAUUGUCUCUGCACUCUCUUAUAAAUCAGUGACAGUAUGUAUUUAAUGAGCCCUUUCCUGUUCAGCAGGUUGCUCCCAGCCGCUCAGAUUUGCAACUGCAAUGCAGAGGUAUCUUAAAAUAAAAUUAACCCUUGGAAGCAAGGCCCCUUUCUGCGAGGAUGCUGGAGAGUCUCUCAGAGACUGGCACUGUGCACUGGCACUGUUCCAUGGCUGGAACACACAGGCUGGCUUCAGAGCAAGGGCUGAUUUGCCUUGGGCACCAAAAAAUUGUGUGGCAAACUAUAACAAGAGAAGAAAAAUAACUGAAAAACUUAACAGGUAACAGUAUUCCUGAGCUAUUGCACUAAAAAUAUCAUGGAAGUCAAAGAUCUGAUUCAUUUAAUGUCUUCUGUGUUCAUUAAAAAAGAAUUUAAAAGUUACAACAAAAGACUCACAUAGUUUUCCCAGAGCAAAAUAACUGGAUGGCCCCUGUAAAUCAUCAGAUGUAUCAACACUUACCAUCAGAGAGGCAGCAACUGAGUCGUGCUGGGAGAGCACGCACAAUGCAGACACCUAAGAACAAAACUGGGAUUUGAAACGUUGCUCCAUACUGCACUAUCCAUAAAAAUACUCAGUCCUAGGAAAGAGGACAAGUGUGGCACACUGCUGAGCACCUCGGGCACCGAGCUUAGGGAGUCCAUGAGUCCAUCCUCUCGGGCACCUUCCUCCAGCUCUUUUGCUGCAGGGCCAGCACAGGCAGCAGCGCCGGGCAGGACCUCACCCUGCUGGGGCUGCAGGCAGUGGGCCCGGUGGGGACAAGGACAGUUUGCAAUUACAUUGCAUGCAGACAUGCAAACACUGAGCUCCACCUCAUACACCACCCCCUCAGUGAGAGUGGAUGUGCACCAGGAGCUCGU
rnacentral:lncRNA from 1 species